CCUAUGUCUGUCGUGAAGGUUUUCAUGCCAUUAAUGUGCAGGCGAUUUCCAAUGCCCAGCUUAUAUUUACUGAUGUAGUCUGCAGGUGGCCAGGCAGUACCCAUGACAGUUUCAAUUUCAACAACAACAAUGGUAUUGGCCAACAUUUUGAAAGUAUGAACACAUAGGAUAUUCCAGGAUUCCUCUUGGAGGGAUUCUGGCUAUCCUCUGCACCCAUAUCUGAUGACACCAAAAACAAACCCUCUGACAGAGCCGGCCAUUACAUACAACAGGGCUCAUAUCUCAACGUGAAACACCAUCCGAGGAGACAGUAAAACCCACACCAAGUCAGACAUGUCCUUGCAAGAAUGAUG